GAACGCACAUUGCGCCCGCUAGUAUUCUGGCGGGCAUGCCUGUUCGAGCGUCAUUUCAACCAUCAAGCCCUAGGCUUGUGUUGGGGCCCUGCGGCCGUCCGCAGCCCCCUAAAAACAGUGGCGGGCUCGCUAUAUACCGAGUGCAGUAGUUUACUCUUCGCUCAGGACAUGUAGUGGGUUCUUGCCGUAAAACCCUCCAUUUUUUUAAGGUUGACCUCGGAUCAGGUAGGGAUACCCGCUGAACUUAAG
rnacentral:misc_RNA from 1 species